rnacentral:rRNA from 1 species
UACGUAGGGUGCAAGCGUUGUCCGGAAUUAUUGGGCGUAAAGAGCUCGUAGGCGGUUCGUCGCGUCGGCUGUGAAAACCCGGAGCUCAACUCCGGGCCUGCAGUCGAUACGGGCGGACUUGAGUGUUGCAGGGGAGACUGGAAUUCCUGGUGUAGCGGUGAAAUGCGCAGAUAUCAGGAGGAACACCGGUGGCGAAGGCAGGUCACUGGGCCGCAACUGACGCUGAGGAGCGAAAGCAUGGGGAGCGAACAGG